rnacentral:tRNA from 1 species
GGGCUUGUAGCUCAGCCGGUUAGAGCGCACGCCUGAUAAGCGUGAGGUCGGUGGUUCG